UGGUUCUGGCAUCGAUGAAGAACGCAGCGAAAUGCGAUAAGUAAUGUGAAUUGCAGAAUUCAGUGAAUCAUCGAAUCUUUGAACGCACAUUGCGCCCCUUGGUAUUCCGAAGGGCAUGCCUGUUCGAGCGUCAUUACAACCCUCAAGCAAUGCUUGGUAUUGGGCCUGGCCUUUAAUGGCCGACCUUAAAAUCAGUGGCGGUGCCAUUUGGCUCUAAGCGUAGUAAGAUUUCUCGCUACAGAGUUCUGUGGACAUUAGCCAUCAACCCUCAAUUUUUCUAUGGUUGACCUCGGAUCAGGUAGGGAUACCCGCUGA
rnacentral:misc_RNA from 1 species